AGAGGAAUUGCUAGGUCAUAUUGUAACUCUUAUAUUUAAUAAUUUGAGGAACUGUCAGUAUUUCCCAAAGUAUCUGUACCAUUUUACAUUCCCACCAGCAAU
rnacentral:pre_miRNA from 1 species